rnacentral:rRNA from 1 species
UACAGAGGUCUCAACCGUUGUUCGGAUUCAUUGGGCGUAAAGGGUGCGUAGGCGGUCGUGCAAGUCGGAUGUGAAAUCUCAGGGCUCAACCCUGAAACUGCAUUCGAUACUGCGAGGCUAGAGUGCUGGAGGGGAGACUGGAAUUUACGGUGUAGCAGUGAAAUGCGUAGAUAUCGUAAGGAAGACCAGUGGCGAAGGCGAGUCUCUGGACAGCAACUGACGCUGAGGCACGAAGGCCAGGGGAGCAAACGGG